rnacentral:rRNA from 1 species
GCAAGUCUGGUGCCAGCAGCCGCGGUAAUUCCAGCUCCAAUAGCGUAUAUUAAAGUUGUUGCAGUUAAAAAGCUCGUAGUUGAACCUCGGGAUCAAUGGAUCGGUCAUGCCAUCGGUAUGUACUGGUCUCAUUGGUUCUCACCUUCUAAGGAACCAUGAUGUCAUUCAGUUGAUGUUGUGGGGAAUUAGGACUGUUACCUUGAAAAAAUUAGAGUGUUUAAAGCAGGCUAACGCUUGAAUACAUUAGCAUGGAAUAAUGAAAUAGGACAUCGCAUUCUAUUUUGUUGGUUUCUAGGAUCGAUGUAAUGAUUAAUAGGGAUAGUUGGGGGCAUUAGUAUUCAAUUGUCAGAGGUGAAAUUCUUGGAUUUAUUGAAGACUAACUACUGCGAAAGCAUUUGCCAAGGAUGUUUUCAUUAAUCAAGAACGAAAGUUAGGGGAUCGAAGACGAUCAGAUACCGUCGUAGUCUUAACCAUAAACUAUGCCGACUAGGGAUCGGAUGAUGUUGAUUUUUUAAUGACUCAUUCGGCGCCUUACGGAAAC